AAGUCGUAACAAGGUCUCCGUAGGUGAACCUGCGGAGGGAUCAUUACCGAGAGAGGGCGCCCCGCGCGCCCGACCUCCCAACCCUCUGUCGACCGUACCUCUGUUGCCUCGGGGCGACCGCGCCUCGGCGGGCGCCCCAGGCGGACACACAACCCAAACUCUGCAUCUCAUGCGUCGGAGUGACAUUAUGCUGAAAUCAAUCAAAACUUUCAACAACGGAUCUCUUGGUUCUGGCAUCGAUGAAGAACGCAGCGAAAUGCGAUAAGUAAUGUGAAUUGCAGAAUUCAGUGAAUCAUCGAAUCUUUGAACGCACAUUGCGCCCCCUGGCAUUCCGGGGGGCAUGCCUGUUCGAGCGUCAUUUCACCACUCAAGCCUCGCUUGCGUAUGGGCGACGCGGUCCCGCCGCGCGCCUCAAAUCGACCGGCUGGUCGGAUCGCACCCUCAGCGUUGUGGCACACAAUCUCGCUAAGGAGUGUGGCGCGGUCACGCCGUCGAAAACACCCACUCAAGGUUGACCUCGGAUCAGGUAGGGAUACCCGCUGAACUUAA
rnacentral:rRNA from 1 species